GCUUGCACUCGGUUGAGAAGAGUCUCAUCCGGUAGAGCGAAUGAUUAGAGGCAUUGGGGUCGAAACGACCUCAACCUAUUCUCAAACUCCAAAUAGAUGAGAUCCCCCGGCUUUCUUAAAAGUGAAGCCGUGGGGUUAUGAUCAGAGUGCCAAGUGGGCCAAUUUUGGUAAGCAGAACUGGCGCUGUGG
rnacentral:rRNA from 1 species